rnacentral:tRNA from 1 species
GACAUGAUGGCUGACUGGAUAACUCAAAUAGCUUGUGUCUCCUUUUACUAGAAAAUAGUUUUGGUCAAAAAUUUUCGAGAAAUUUUUAUUUCC